rnacentral:rRNA from 1 species
GAUGAACGCUGGCGGCGUGCCUAAUACAUGCAAGUCGAGCGAACAGACGAGGAGCUUGCUCCUCUGACGUUAGCGGCGGACGGGUGAGUAACACGUGGAUAACCUACCUAUAAGACUGGGAUAACUUCGGGAAACCGGAGCUAAUACCGGAUAACAUGUUGAACCUCAUGGUUCAACAGUGAAAGACGGUCUUUCUGUCAGUUAUAGAUGGAUCCGCGCCCCAUUAGCUAGUUGGUAAGGUAACGGCUUACCAAGGCAACGAUGCGUAGCCGACCUGAGAGGGUGAUCGGCCACCCUGGAACUGAGACACGGUCCCGACUCCUGCAGGAGGCAGCAGUAGGGAAUCUUCCGCAAUGGGCGAGAUCCUAACGGAGCAACGCCGCGUGAGUGAAGAAGGUCUUCGGAUCGUAAAACUCUGUUAUUAGGGAAGAUCAAAUGUGUAAGUAACUAUGCACGUCUUGACGGUACCUAAUCAGAAAGCCACGGCUAACUACGUG